rnacentral:lncRNA from 1 species
CCAAAAAUAGGAGGGAUUGGAAAAAAAUAUUUUUAAAAUUUCUUUUUCAUUUCAAAUAUUGCAUUUUUAUAAAUUUCCCCUCCCUCGUUAAAAUCAGCAUAUAAAUUAGCAAGUGCGGCAAUAUAUACUAAACAGUUUGAAAUUGUAGGACAAUAUUGGCCAGAUAAAGCAGUUGUAGCCACACUAAAAUGUUCUAAAAAAUCUAAAAGAAUCUUAACGUUAUUCCAAUCUUGAUUAGUUAGCAUAUC